UGAGACCGUUUGGAAAUGAUCCUUGUUCUAUUUUGCACAAUGAAACUAUUGUAAGUACAACCAAAAGUAUAUUUAUUUUCUCCUUUACUAACUUACUUUUAAAAUUUAAGUCUAUGUUUUCUAACUUAAGUAACAAAAUGACAGUUAAACAUUUUAAUAUAUUAAUUAUAAGCACUCAGACACAUUUUAAUACCAUAAGCAAAUUACUAAUUUUUAUAUGUAGACUGUUAUUUAUUCUGUUUAACAAGAAGUCCUCUUACAUCUUUAAAGUGCUGUGGAGUUAAGGUCUAAACUAAAUGAUAUCCAGACAUUUUCCUUUCUGAGUUUUCAGUUAAAUAAGAAUCCAAAAACAUAUGCAGAAGGACGUACCAGGAGGAAGAAGAGAUCUCUCUCUCUCUUUCCUACACACACAAACAAACACACACACACAAACACACAAGCAGAGAGAGAGAUUGAGAAUUUUCUGUAUCAUAAACAGAGAUGAAGGUCAAAUACAUUUUUAUCUCCUAUACCAGGAUAAUGUGCUAAAACAUAUUGUUCAAAGAGGCUAUAGAUGUUAAAAUAGUGACUACACAGAAUUUGAUCCUGAAGAAACUCUAUUGUUAACAUUUCACAGCACAAAGCAAACAUACAGAUUUUAAUUUUCUUUCCAAAUCUAGCAACUUAAUAAUUUUUUAGGCACAAAUGUGGUUAAUUAACAGACUUAAAGGAAUUGGUUUAAGGUUACAGUAUAGAAAUAACUCAAAUAAGCAACUUAAUUCAAUAGAAUUGUCCUAGAAUAAAGUUGCACAUCAAGAUUUUAUAAUAGAAGUGUUUUGCAAGAGCAAUGUUACAAAGUUUAAAACUUUUAAUAGUAAAUGGAAGAACACAAAUUUUAUUUAUUUAUAAGAUGUAAACUUAUUAAGGAGCAAAAUCAUUAAGACCUGGCUUUAACAAUAAUGAAGGAAAAGUGAUGAAAUAUAGUACGAGGAGAAUAUACUAGAAUACCUUUUAUAUUCUACACCAAAGCAUUAGUAAUGCAUGAGUAACUGUAUUGCUAAGAUUCCUUGCAGCUAUUCUAGAUUUACAUUAAGAAUUUUAUAAUAAAAUAUAAAAUUAAAGAACAUUUUUAAUGGGCUGUGAUCAAAAAAAUAUCUUUUAAAAGCUAUUCUAUCUUUUCACAUGUAGAAACUAACAAAAGAAAAAUAAAUUUCC
rnacentral:lncRNA from 10 species